rnacentral:rRNA from 1 species
CCUACGGGAGGCAGCAGUAGGGAAUCUUCGGCAAUGGACGAAAGUCUGACCGAGCAACGCCGCGUGAGUGAAGAAGGUUUUCGGAUCGUAAAACUCUGUUGGUAGAGAAGCGGUAACUACCCAGAAAGGGACGGCUAACUACGUGCCAGCAGCCGCGGUAAUACGUAGGUCCCGAGCGUUGUCCGGAUUUAUUGGGCGUAAAGCGAGCGCAGGUGGUUUAUUAAGUCUGGUGUAAAAGGCAGUGGCUCAACCAUUGUAUGCAUUGGAAACUGGUAGACUUGAGUGCAGGAGAGGAGAGUGGAAUUCCAUGUGUAGCGGUGAAAUGCGUAGAUAUAUGGAGGAACACCGGUGGCGAAAGCGGCUCUCUGGCCUGUACUGACACUGAGGCUCGAAAGCGUGGGGAGCAAACAGGAUUAGAUACCCUUGUAGUC